rnacentral:rRNA from 1 species
ACGCUGGCGGCAGGCUUAACACAUGCAAGUCGAGCGGUAACAGGGGGAGCUUGCUCCCUGCUGACGAGCGGCGGACGGGUGAGUAAUGCCUAGGAAUCUGCCCAGUAGUGGGGGAUAGCCCGGGGAAACCCGGAUUAAUACCGCAUACGCCCUACGGGGGAAAGCAGGGGAUCUUCGGACCUUGCGCUAUUGGAUGAGCCUAAGUCGGAUUAGCUAGUUGGUGGGGUAAAGGCCCACCAAGGCGACGAUCCGUAGCUGGUCUGAGAGGAUGAUCAGCCACAUCGGGACUGAGACACGGCCCGAACUCCUACGGGAGGCAGCAGUGGGGAAUAUUGGACAAUGGGGGCAACCCUGAUCCAGCCAUGCCGCGUGUGUGAAGAAGGCUUUCGGGUUGUAAAGCACUUUCAGUGAGGAGGAAGGCUUUCAGAUUAAUACUCUGGAGGAUUGACGCUACUCACAGAAGAAGCACCGGCUAACUCCGUGCCAGCAGCCGCGGUAAUACGGAGGGUGCAAGCGUUAAUCGGAAUUACUGGGCGUAAAGCGCGCGUAGGUGGUUUGAUAAGCGAGAUGUGAAAGCCCCGGGCUUAACCUGGGAACGGCAUUUCGAACUGUCAGGCUAGAGUGUGGUAGAGGGUAGUGGAAUUUCCUGUGUAGCGGUGAAAUGCGUAGAUAUAGGAAGGAACACCAGUGGCGAAGGCGGCUACCUGGACCAACACUGACACUGAGGUGC